GGCUCAGAUCGAUCGCUGACGGCGUGCUUAACGCAUCCAAGUCGACCGAGUGUACCAAUACAUUUCUGGCGAACGGCUGCGUAACACGCGCAUAAUCUUCUUUCUGGUGGGGAAUUACCCAGGGAAAGCUGGUAUAAUGCCGCAUACCAGUGUGAGGGCGCAUGCCCCUCCAUUCAAAGGCGCAAGUCGCCGGAAGAGGGAUCCGCGUCCGAUUAGCUAGUUGGCGAGGUAAUGGCUCACCAGGGCGAUGAUCGGUAGCCGGUCUGAGAGGAUGAUCGGCCACACUGGAACUGAGACACGGGACAGACUCCUACGGGAUGUCUGCAGUGGGGA
rnacentral:rRNA from 1 species